rnacentral:rRNA from 1 species
GAUUAACGCUGGCGGCGUGCAUAACACAUGCAAGUCGAACGAUGAAACUUAAAUGAUUUCUUCGGAAUGAACUUAAGUGGAUUAGUGGCGGACGGGUGAGUAACGCGUGAGUAACCUGCCUUACACAAGGGGAUAGCCGUUGGAAACGACGAAUAAUACCCUAUGAAACUAUCACUUCGCAUGAAGCGAUAGUCAAAGUGUUAGCGGUGUAAGAUGGACUUGCGUCUGAUUAGCUAGUUGGUGAGAAAAAAGCCCACCAAGGCAACGAUCAGUAGCCGGCUUGAGAGAGUGUACGGCCACAUUGAGACUGAGACACGGCCCAGACUCCUACGGGAGGCAGCAGUGGGGAAUUUUGCACAAUGGGGGAAACCCUGAUGCAGCGACGCCGCGUGAUUUAGAAGGCCUUCAGGUUGUAAAAAUCUUUUGUAUAGGAAGAAAAUGACAGUACUAUACGAAUAAGGUCCGGCUAAUUACGUG